CUUUUUUGGGUAGUCCUGAGAGGAGUGCGUUACAGUAAUCUAGUCGACUGAAAACAAACGCAUGAACUAAUUUCUCAGCAUCUUUCAAUGAUAUAAGAGGUCUAACUUUAGCUAUGUUUCUUAAGUGAAAAAAUGCUGUCCUAGUGAUCUGAUUAAUAUGCGAUUUAAAAUUCAGAUUACAAUCAACGGUUACCCCUAAGCUUU